rnacentral:rRNA from 1 species
GACGAACGCUGGCGGCGUGCUUAACACAUGCAAGUCGAGCGGUAAGGCCCUUUCGGGGGUACGACGAGCGGCGAACGGGUGAGUAACACGUGGGUGACCUGCCCUCAGCUCUGGGAUAAGCCUGGGAAACUGGGUCUAAUACUGGAUAUGACUCCACGGUGCAUGUCGUGGGGUGGAAAGCCUUGUGCGGCUGAGGAUGGGCCCGCGGCCUAUCAGCUUGUUGGUGGGGUGANGGCCUACCAAGGCGACGACGGGUAGCCGGCCUGAGAGGGCGACCGGCCACACUGGGACUGAGACACGGCCCAGACUCCUACGGGAGGCAGCAGUGGGGAAGUCUUGCGCAAUGGGCGAAAGCCUGACGCAGCGACGCCGCGUGAGGGAUGACGGCCU